rnacentral:rRNA from 1 species
AUAUUAAUAAGCGGAGGAAAAGAAAACAACGGUGAUGUCCUUAGUAAGGGCGACUGAAAAGGACCCUAGCCCAGCGUAAAGGCCUCAUUUUGUCACGAAAUGAAGCGGUGCUACGUUAACGGCCGGGAGAUAGAGGAGGCCAUACGUGGAAUCUCAAGUUCUUCAAAGUAAGACGCCAUAGAAGGUUGUAGCCCUGUAGCGAUUCCAUGUUGAUCCCCUCGCAACCCGCGCCGCAAGAGUCUGGUUGCUUGAAAGUGCAGCCGUAAGACGCAGGUAGACUCCUGCUAAGGCUAAAUAUCUCCGUCAGCCCGAUAGUAAACAAGUACCGUGAGGGAAAGUUGAAAAGGACUUUGGUAGAGAGAGUUAAAAGAACGUGAAACGGCCAACAGGUAAACGAGUAGAGCUGCGAAUUAGGGUGGAGGGUUUCGCCAGAUAACGUUAAACUUAUCUGGUUACUACGCCUCUAUCCCGCAAUGCAGUGACGACUUGUCGUGGGGGAAAUUGAUGUGUCGGUAGUGGGGGAAAGCUGCGUGUUAGUCUUUAGUCACAACAUUUGUUGUACUUUAGCUUCACAGUAAUUACCUUGACCAUCACUGUAACAAUUUCCCUCCUGUAGAGUCGGAGUUACUUGGAGA